CCCUUAGAUGUUCUGGGCCGCACACGCGCUACACUGAAGGAGGCAGCGUGUACUCCUGGAUCGAAAGAUUUGGGUAACCCGCGAAUCUCCUUCGUGCUAGGGAUUGAGGUUUGCAAUUAUCCUUCAUGAACGAGGAAUUCCCAGUAAGUGCAAGUCAUAAGCUUGCGCUGACUACGUCCCUGCCCUUUGUACACACCGCCCGUCGCUACUACCGAUUGAAUGAUUUAGUGAGGACUUCGGACCGGGACCGAUGCGGCUUUCGGGCUGCGUCGGUAUUCUGGAAAGAUGUCCAAACUGUAUCAUUUAGAGGAAGUAAAANUCGUANCA
rnacentral:rRNA from 1 species